AGGAAUCCCAAUAUAUACUAAUAAAAUAUAUUCCAAACAUCCCAAUUAUGUUAAUAACAAAUCUAUUAAUCAAGAAACAAGAAAAAAGAAACAUUCAACUACAAAUAAUAAACAAAAGAAAUAAAAGAACAGAAAGGAAACAUUUACAGAGAAUCCAUUAACGUUUCUGGGUAGUCUUAUGGUAUUUGUCUUUGAUCCAAUGGAAGCCGGUGAUGGUUCCUUCUUUGACCUUCUUCAUACCAGUAGAAGCAACAGCUUUGGUCUUUCCCAGACCUUCUCCGACCUUCUGCUUGUAUUUGUCGGCUGAACUGCUGCUGCUCUUCCUGUUCUGGGAGUCGUAAACAACAUCAGGGUUGUUGUCCCAUUGAUCGGCCCAAGAUGAUUCGUAGGAGCUGUUUCCGUUCAUUCUUAGAAGAAGGGAAGGUAUGGCUAUGGCAGGUUUUUGAACAGAGGAGGGGAAGAUUUGUUGCCAGAGAGAUUUAGCGAUGUCAGGUUUUCUUGGGGAAUCUGUUAACCAAGUCAUUGCAAUUU
rnacentral:misc_RNA from 1 species